rnacentral:rRNA from 1 species
UGUUAAUAAUUUAUAUAUAGAAUAUUUUGAAAGAUAUUUUUAUAUAAUAUUAACAUAAUUCAUAUUACUAUAUUUUUUUAGUAUAUGAAAUUUUACUUUGAGAAAAUUAGAGUGCUUAAAGCAGGCAUAUGCCUUGAAUACUCCAGCAUGGAAUAAUAUUAAAGAUUUUUAUCUUUCUUAUUGGUUCUAAGAUAAGAAUAAUGAUUAAUAGGGACAGUUGGGGGCAUUUGUAUUUAACAGUCAGAGGUGAAAUUCUUAGAUUUGUUAAAGACAAACUAAUGCGAAAGCAUUUGCCAAGGAUGUUUUCAUUAAUCAAGAACGAAAGUUAGGGGAUCGAAGACGAUCAGAUACCGUCGUAGUCUUAACCAUAAACUAUGCCAACUAGAGAUUGGAGGUUGUU